rnacentral:lncRNA from 1 species
AGGAUGACGAUGGGCACAAAGAAGAUGAAGAGAGGGAGGAAGCUGCUCCACCCCUGAGCGCUCCGCAAUUCAACCUUCCACAAGCCAUUCGGAGCCACUGGCUAACAUGCUAACAGAGAGGUGGUGUACUGUGAGGGAGCAGAUGGAGGCUCUGCAGCAGCGGAGAGCUCUCCAGGAGACUCCUGGCCGUUCCACCCCCGUUGUCACGGUAUCACCCCCCCAUGGUACUGCAACCACCUCUGCCCUGCCCCGCCCUCACGCUCGACCACAGCCAGAAACUCCAGCUGCGGCAGCAAGUCCAACAGGAGGAGCUCUAGGCGUUUGCCCAGCGUGAGGAGGCGAUCAGGUCAGUCCGGGACCCAGGCUUCAGCAGCAUUUUCAGGGCCUGUAACCUCCAGGGGGCACUGUCUCUGGUCCAGGAGCAGGAGAGCUCUGUCUCGCCAUCUGCUCCUUCUCCAACCCCCCCCUGCCAGGCCUCAAACACGCUCUAACAAUGUGUGUACAUACCCUCUGCUGCCUGCUGAGACGGCCUGGCUGCUCGCCACCUGCUCCGUCUUCCUCUAUCCAGAGCUCCUGCCCCACUGCAGCCUGGACACCGCACCCUCCAUGCACCAAGAACAACUUCUACACACGCGGAGAGGACAGACUCAUUGUACUGGGGCUGAAGGACUUCAGCCAGACAGAGCUCCCCUACCAGCUCAUGUGUCGCUACCUCAUCCGUACCAAGCAGGACCAGCUACGCUCCUGUGUCAAGGAGCUGUGUGGCCACAAGGCAUCUGACAACGCUAUCAAGUUGUACUGUCAGCACAACAUAGUUCCUGCCAUGUAGGAGACCUGUGGCAGGCUGAUGCCAGGGGAAGA